GGGGGCGAACUAGAUUCGACGGAGAUGGACGGGGUAUUGAAUUGCGAGUCGAGUUCCUGUGCCUCGUUAAACGGCAGGAAAACAAUAAUUGCGAACGAACAAAACGAAGAAUUAGCCUUAGCUGCAUAAAUCCAGCUAACGCGGCGUGUUCAGGUUCCUGCCUUGCGCAAUGCCGCGUAAAACUUGCAGGAUAGCCGAAGAUGUUGUCCACCGUUUUCGGUGAAAGACAGGACUAGUUCUCAUCUGACCGCGCACCGGCGAUGAGAUCCGAGCGAAAUUGAUUCCGGUGCUACACUCGUAGACAUUCAAUAUGACGUAUCUUCGGACGGGACGGGCAGCACGUCCCCGCCUCCACCA
rnacentral:tmRNA from 1 species